rnacentral:rRNA from 1 species
UACGGAAGGCAGCAGUGGGGAAUAUUGCACAAUGGGCGCAAGCCUGAUGCAGCCAUGCCGCGUGUAUGAAGAAGGCCUUCGGGUUGUAAAGUACUUUCAGUCGUGAGGAAGGUGUUAAGGUUAAUAACCUUAAGCAAUUGACGUUAGCGACAGAAGAAGCACCGGCUAACUCCGUGCCAGCAGCCGCGGUAAUACGGAGGGUGCGAGCGUUAAUCGGAAUUACUGGGCGUAAAGGGCACGCAGGCGGUUAAUUAAGUUGGAUGUGAAAUCCCCGGGCUUAACCUGGGAAUGGCAUUCAAGACUGGUUAGCUAGAGUCUUGUAGAGGGGGUAGAAUUCCAUGUGUAGCGGUGAAAUGCGUAGAGAUGUGGAGGAAUACCGGUGGCGAAGGCGGCCCCUGGACAAAGGACUGACGCUCAUGUGCGAAAGCGUGGGGAGCAAAC